rnacentral:rRNA from 1 species
UACGUAGGGUGCGAGCGUUAAUCGGAAUUACUGGGCGUAAAGCGCGCGUAGGCGGACCUGCAAGUCGGGGGUGAAAGCCCGAGGCUCAACCUCGGAACUGCCUUCGAUACUGCGGGUCUCGAGUCCGGGAGAGGUGAGUGGAAUUCCUAGUGUAGAGGUGAAAUUCGUAGAUAUUAGGAAGAACACCAGUGGCGAAGGCGGCUCACUGGCCCGGUACUGACGCUGAGGCGCGAAAGCGUGGGGAGCAAACGGG